ensembl:lncRNA
GCUGCUGCUCCAGUUUCAACUGUUCUGCCUUAUUAUUAUUCGACCAUGCUGGUCAUUUAUGAACAUUUGAACAUCUUGGCCAUGUUCUGUUAUAAUCUCCACCCGGCACAGCCAGAAGAGGACUGGCCACCCCACAUAGCCUGGUUCCUCUCUAGGUUUCUUGCUAGGUUUUGGCCUUUCUAGGGAGUUUUUCCAAGCCACCGUGCUUCUACACCUGCAUUAGCUUGCUGUUUGGGGUUUUAGGCUGGGUUUCUGUACAGCA